rnacentral:rRNA from 1 species
GACGAACGCUGGCGGCGUGCCUAAUACAUGCAAGUCGAGCGAAGUUUUUCUGGUGCUUGCACUAGAAAAACUUAGCGGCGAACGGGUGAGUAACACGUAAAGAACCUGCCCCAUAGACUGGGACAACUAUUGGAAACGAUAGCUAAUACCGGAUAACAGUAUUUCUCGCAUGAGAGAUAUUUAAAAGUUGGUUAUGCUAACACUAUGAGAUGGCUUUGCGGUGCAUUAGCUAGUUGGUGGGGUAAAGGCCCACCAAGGCGACGAUGCAUAGCCGACCUGAGAGGGUGAUCGGCCACACUGGGACUGAGACACGGCCCAGACUCCUACGGGAGGCAGCAGUAGGGAAUCUUCCGCAAAGGGCGAAAGCCUGACGGAGCAACGCCGCGUGAGUGAAGAAGGAUUUCGGUUCGUAAAGCUCUGUUGUUAGGGAAGAAUGGAUAUGUAGUAACUAUACAUGUAAGAGACGGUACCUAACCAGAAAGCCACGGCUAACUACGUG